GACGAACGCUGGCGGCGUGCUUAACACAUGCAAGUCGAACGGAAAGGCCCUGCUUGUGGGGGAUGCUCGAGUAGCGAACGGGUGAGUAACACGUAAGUAACCUUCCCUUGAGGUUUGGAUAACUGCAGGAAACUGGGGCUAAUACCGUAUAGGAGCUCCGCCUGCAUGGGGGGGGUUGGAAAUUUUUGGCGGUUGGGGGUGGACUCGCGGCUUAUCAGCUUGUUGGUGGGGUAGUGGCUUACCAAGGCUUUGACGGGUAGCCGGCCUGAGGGGGUGACCGGCCAAAUUGGGACUGGGAUACGGCCCAGACUCCUACGGGAGGCAGAAGUGGGGAAAUUUCAACAAUGGGCGGAAGCCUGAUCAAGCAACGCCGGGUGGGGGAUGACGGCCUUGGGGUUGUAAACGGCUUUCGCCUGUGACGAAGCGUGAGUGACGGUAAUGGGUAAAGAAGCACCGGCUAACUACGUG
rnacentral:rRNA from 1 species